rnacentral:pre_miRNA from 1 species
GUUGUUCGCUCUCCCUCAAGGGCUUCUAUCAUAUCUCAUCUGAUUAUAUAUAUAUAUAUGUAUAUAUGAUCAGUAUAUAUGUAGUAGAAGCUCUUUUGGGAGAAUGAACAA